rfam:Lactobacillus mellis strain Hon2 genomic scaffold Hon2_scaffold1, whole genome shotgun sequence.
GGUUUUGAGUAAUCGCGGUUUGUGAAUGCAAGCUGAGGAAAGUCCACGCCGGCAUAAGCUGCAAUGCUUAUAGUGUUCGCGUUCAGCCCAAUAAGCUGGAGAAUUCGGCAAUCGAAUUACGGCGGUCAAAUUGCUAAGGUCUUUUAGAUUAGGCAAAAGUAGCCUGAAAGUGCCACAGAAACGCAGUCUUUUGGAAACAAAAGAAUGGAACGGGUAAACCCCACGAGCAGGAAACCCAAACUUUGGUAGGGGAGUUUCGAUACGGGAAAAUAAACCUACGUCGAAAACACUAGUAAUAGUGUAGAUAGAUGAUUACUAAAAACAGUUAGUAGCGUAACUGUUGGAACAGAACGUGGCUUAUAGAA